UCCUAAAUGUAAAUUAAUUGUUAGUUUACCGGAGUAUUACGGAUUAUAAAAAUUUAAAAUUCAAAGGACUUGGCGGUGUUUUAGACUUCUCAGGGGAACCUGUCUCGUAAUCGAUGAUCCACGUUGUACCUGGCCUUUAGAAUAGUGACGCAGUUUGUAUACCGUCGUCGUCAGGCAACUUUUAGAGAGGUUAGUAGUUGGCGUAGGAAAUGUGUUAAUUAGUACGUCAGAUCAAGGUGCAGCUGUAUAUAGAGGUGAGGAUGGGUUACACUUAUAAUAGUUAUAAUACGGAUGAGUUGAAUUGAAAUAUUGUUUGGAAGGAGGACUUGAAAGUAAAGAUGUGGUUAGAUAAGUGUCUUGAAUUGGGCUCUGGAACGUGU
rnacentral:rRNA from 1 species